rnacentral:rRNA from 1 species
GUUCGGACUGUAGUCUGCAACCCGACUACACGAAGCUGGAAUCGCUAGUAAUCGCGAAUCAGAAUGUCGCGGUGAAUACGUUCCCGGGCCUUGUACACACCGCCCGUCACACCAUGAGAGUCGGUAACACCCGAAGCCUGUAGUCUAACCGCAAGGAGGACGCAGUCGAAGGUGGGAUUGAUGACUGGGGUGAAGUCGUAACAAGGUACC